GCGUCGUGACUGGCGAAAUAGGUGGGGUACCACCGGGGAGCGGCGUGCCUGCAUCGAGAGCCGCCCGCCUGGGCU
rnacentral:ncRNA from 1 species